CAAAUAGCUUCAGCAUCUUCAGUGACCAGAUUCAGCAAACACUAGCACCAUCGCAGAAGAAAGAAGUCCAAAGCUCAUCCUGUCCGGUGGCACUGCUCACAUGCUCAGUGGUUGUCCCGACGUACUCUACAACUGAUUUAUGUUUGGACUCCACAGCUGCUGUUCUAUCAGCGUUCAGCUGCAAGAUUAGGUUUCACGUGAGCUCCUCUUCAGCGCUCAAAGAGGGCACCACCCUGUCUGGCCUCUGCGGCGACCUGAGCUGCUCAGUGAUUGGCUGCAGCCGGAGCUGCCACGAGUGGCAGACAGGCAUAGCGUGUCUGAGACAAAAACACAGGGAGUCCUGCCAGCUUUUGUCCCCGAGGGGCGAGGAGGGCGGCGAGCGCCUGACUCUCUGGUGGACGAGUCACUGUGGAGGGUUCCACGACGGCUUACAAGCAUGCUCGGAUGUCAAACUGUCACGGCACAGUUUGCUUCAAACAACAACUGACCAGACAACGCCGAGCGACGGCUGGAUUUUAAAGCCACAUCAAACGGCAGAACUUUAACCCUCAUAACUGAUGUAAUCGUCUGCCGAAUCAAAACAUCUGAUCAAAAAUUCAGUGUGCAGCAGUCUUCAACCCUCAGGAGGCGGACCAGUACUGGACGGUUUGUAUCAGACUGCAGAGAAAAAUAAAUAAAUAAAACUACCAACAGUCUAAUGUUUUUUUUAUCAUGAACAUUUGAAUAAUACAAUAAUACAGUGUGAGAACAUAACACAAUUCUAAGUGUGAGUCACAAUUAUUCUUAACUUUUUUAAGCUACUGUUAAAAGAUUAAUUUUAACAUAAACAUAAGUAAUACAUUUUUUUACAAACUGGCAAUUAAGAAUAACCAAAAAAAAAAAAAACAAAGGAAGAAAAAUAAAGAAAAAUGCAAGACCUUGUAUUAUGUAACUAGUCUUCAGGAAAAUCUGAUUUUGAAGGAAGUUUUAUUUUGAAAAACUACUGGAUAUUCGAAGUUCCUGUGAAAGAUUGACUUGUGACUGACUCAACAAAUCUGUCAUGGCUGAUCAAUCUGAAAAACACAGUAUUGAAGACAAAAAGCGCUACAGUAUAUAUGGAAUCCUAUUUCUCACAAUUGUGACAGUCAAUUUCAAUCCCUACAUGAUUUAUUCAGAAAAAAGCUAAAUAAACUAUUUUGUCUAUUUUACAACACUAUUUUAAAGCUUCUUUUAACAUUCGAGCUCACAUCAUUUCAUUGAGAAUGCCUUUUUGACUGUCUUUUUUGCCUUGAGGACCAUAGAAAAUGUUAACCUGGAGCAAAGAGCGAUGUUUAUGUGGUUUUGAAUGGCAAGUUGUGACAGUGUUUCUAUAAGUGAAAGAAUGUAUCCAGAAAUCCAUGUUUCAGGCUAAAAGAUAGUUUCUAAAGGCCAAAUUCACAGUUUUG